rnacentral:rRNA from 1 species
UAGGGAAUCUUCCGCAAUGGGCGAAAGCCUGACGGAGCAACGCCGCGUGAGUGAUGAAGGUCUUCGGAUCGUAAAACUCUGUUAUUAGGGAAGAACAAAUGUGUAAGUAACUAUGCACGUCUUGACGGUACCUAAUCAGAAAGCCACGGCUAACUACGUGCCAGCAGCCGCGGUAAUACGUAGGUGGCAAGCGUUAUCCGGAAUUAUUGGGCGUAAAGCGCGCGUAGGCGGUUUUUUAAGUCUGAUGUGAAAGCCCACGGCUCAACCGUGGAUGGUCAUUGGAAUCUGGACAACUUGAGUGCAGAAGAGGAAAGUGGAAUUCCAUGUGUCGCGGUGAAAUGCGCAGAGAUAUGGAGGAACACCAGUGGCGGAGGCGACUUUCUGGUCUGUAACUGACGCUGAUGUGCGAAAGCGUGGGGAUCAAGCAGG